AUGCUACUCCCUCCGUCCGGAAAUACUUGUCAUCAAAAUGAAUGAAAAUGGAUGUAUCUAGAACUAAAAUACAUCUAAAUACAUCCAUUUCAAUGACAAGUAUUUCCGGACGGAGGGAGUAUUAU
rnacentral:pre_miRNA from 1 species